rnacentral:rRNA from 1 species
UACGUAGGGGCGAGCGUGUCCGGAUUUAUUGGGCGUAAAGAGCGUGUAGGCGGCCAGGUAGGUCAGCUGUGAAAACUCGAGGCUCAACCUCGAGAUGUCGGCUGAAACCAUCUGGCUAGAGUCCGGAAGAGGAGAAUGGAAUUCCCGGUGUAGCGGUGAAAUCGCAGAUAUCGGGAAGAACACCCGUGGCGAAGGCGGUUCUCUGGGACGGUACUGACGCUGAGACGCGAAAGCGUGGGGGAGCGAACAGG